GGACCCGCACAAGUAGUGGAGCAUGUGGUUUAAUUCGAAGAUACGCGCAGAACCUUACCAACACUUGACAUGUUCGUCGCGACUCUAAGAGAUUAAAGUUUUCGGUUCGGCCGGACGAAACACAGGUGCUGCAUGGCUGUCGUCAGCUCGUGUCGUGAGAUGUUGGGUUAAGUCCCGCAACGAGCGCAACCCUCACUUUUAGUUGCCAUCAUUAAGUUGGGCACUCUGAAAGAACUGCCAGUGAUAAGCUGGAGGAAGGUGGGGAUGACGUCAAGUCCUCAUGGCCCUUACGUGUUGGGCUACACACGUGCUACAAUGGUAUCUACAACAGGAAGCAAGACGGCGACGUUAAGCAAAUCCUUAAAAGAUACCUCAGUUCGGAUUGUACUCUGCAACUCGAGUACAUGAAGCUGGAAUUACUAGUAAUCG
rnacentral:rRNA from 1 species